UACGAAGGGGGCUAGCGUUGUUCGGAAUUACUGGGCGUAAAGGGCGCGUAGGCGGUACUUCAAGUCAGGCGUGAAAGCCCCGGGCUCAACCUGGGAACCGCGCUUGAGACUGGAGAACUAGAGUUCGGGAGAAGAUGGUGGAAUUCCCAGUGUAGAGGUGAAAUUCGUAGAUAUUGGGAAGAACACCGAUGGCGAAGGCAGCCAUCUGGACCGACACUGACGCUGAGGCGCGAAAGCGUGGGGAGCAAACAGG
rnacentral:rRNA from 1 species